rnacentral:sRNA from 4 species
GCACCUGCAAAAUCAGGUGCCGGGAUUGGCGUCCUGAAAGUGUGCACAAACAAUCUU